UGGGGGAUAUUGCACAAUGGGCGAAAGCCUGAUGCAGCGACGCCGCGUGGGGGAUGAAGGCCUUCGGGUUGUAAACUUCUUUUGCUCUGAACAAGGCAUGCUAAUGGGUGUGUUGAGUGUAGGGGUUGAUUAGCGCCGGCUAACUACGUGCCAGCAGCCGCGGUAAUACGUAGGGCGCGAGCGUUGUCCGGAAUUAUUGGGCGUAAAGGGCUUGUAGGUGGCUGGUUGCGUCUGUCGUGAAAGCUCAUGGCUUAACUGUGGGUUUGCGGUGGGUACGGGCUGGCUUGAGUGCAGUAGGGGAGGCUGGAAUUCCUGGUGUAGCGGUGGAAUGCGCAGAUAUCAGGAGGAAUACCGGUGGCGAAGGCGGGUCUCUGGGCUGUUACUGACACUGAGGAGCGAAAGCAUGGGGAGGGAACAGG
rnacentral:rRNA from 1 species